GACGAACGCUGGCGGCGCGCCUAACACAUGCCAGUCGAACGAGCGAGAGAGAGCUUGCUUUCUUGAGCGAGUGGCGAACGGGUGAGUAACGCGUGAGGAACCUGCCUCAAAGAGGGGGACAACAGUUGGAAACGACUGCUAAUACCGCAUAAGCCCACGGUGCCGCAUGGCACAGAGGGAAAAGGAGCAAUCCGCUUUGAGAUGGCCUCGCGUCCGAUUAGCUAGUUGGUGAGGUAACGGCCCACCAAGGCGACGAUCGGUAGCCGGGCUGGGAGGUUGAACGGCCACAUUGGGACUGAGACACGGCCCAGACUCCUACGGGAGGCAGCAGUGGGGAAUAUUGCACAAUGGGGGAAACCCUGAUGCAGCGACGCCGCGUGGAGGAAGAAGGUCUUCGGAUUGUAAACUCCUGUUGUUGGGGAAGAUAAUGACGGUACCCAACAAGGAAGUGACGGCUAACUACGUG
rnacentral:rRNA from 1 species